rnacentral:rRNA from 1 species
UGCCGCGUGACUGAUGAAGGCCUUCGGGUUGUAAAGGACUUUUGUCAGGGAGGAAAUCCCUGGCGCUAAUAUCCUUCGGGGAUGACAAUACCUGAACAAUAAGCCCCGGCUAACUACGUGCCAGCAUGCCGCGGUAAU